GACGAACGCUGGCGGCGUGCUUAACACAUGCAAGUCGAACGGAAAGGCCCUGCUUUUGUGGGGUGCUCGAGUGGCGAACGGGUGAGUAACACGUGAGUAACCUGCCCUUGACUUUGGGAUAACUUCAGGAAACUGGGGCUAAUACCGGAUAGGAGCUCCUGCUGCAUGGUGGGGGUUGGAAAGUUUCGGCGGUUGGGGAUGGACUCGCGGCUUAUCAGCUUGUUGGUGGGGUAGUGGCUUACCAAGGCUUUGACGGGUAGCCGGCCUGAGAGGGUGACCGGCCACAUUGGGACUGAGAUACGGCCCAGACUCCUACGGGAGGCAGCAGUGGGGAAUAUUGCACAAUGGGCGGAAGGCUGAUGCAGCCACGCCGCGUGCGGGAUGACGGCCUUCGGGUUGGAAACCGCUUUCGCCUGUGACGAAGCGUGAGUGACGGUAAUGGGUAAAGAAGCACCGGCUAACUACGUG
rnacentral:rRNA from 1 species